GAGUUUGCUUCUCAGGCAGUUUCCAGCCUUGCCUUGGCUCUGGGAAGUUUUUCCUGAGAAGCUGUGCAGGCCACAGGCUUGGUUGGACCUGGCUGGGGUUGCUUCUCCUUUAUUGUUUGUACAGAGAUGGGGCACACGUGUGGAGUGAUGUUUUCCUCUGUUGGAUGCUCUAGUCAAGGCAGAAGUCCAAGAAAAGCCAGGCUUUUGCAAUGCAAGCAGAGGUCUGAGCCUGUCCCAGCUCCAGGUCCAGCAGGACUUGGGGGAACCUUAAACUAUGAAGGGCAGUGACACAACACUGCUGUUGGAAUCCAGUCCCCAUGGCCUGCCUGAAACUCUCCAGGGAAACUUCCACAUCCCACAAAAUCAAAGAAGGUCAAACCCUGCCUGGAAGCAACAUAACUUCAUUAUUCCAAGUUCACAGGUGAUAAAUUUGGUGUCCUUGGCCAGAUGUGAGAUAUAUUCAGAGUCAUCUUUACCUAAAGAAACAGUGGUGCUCUUGUUCUGGGCAGAUCCUCAGGUCAUGCCCUCCUUUGCAGCCUUCUGGUCCAGCAGCUGUUGAUGCCUGUGACCCCUUGGUCAUGGGUGCCAUCUCCACUGUGAAUGCAGCUCCUUGAUGAGAGCUAGGAAGUGUCAAAUGAGAUUUCAGUGCAGGGAACAAAAACAUGCAGCUGGAAAAUAAGUCAGGAGGACUUUUCACCAAGGAAAAGGCUCUCUGUGGCUGGGUCUCCUGCCCAGCUCCAAGCUGCUGAACUUCCUUGGCAUCACUCUCCAACCCUCUCUCCCCUCUGUGCUGAUUUGCAGCCCUGUUACAUCUUUGUACACAUGAUCUGAUGUGGCCAGAGAUCCCCCAGCAGCCUUGGUUUUCCUCUGACCCAUCAUAUGGCAGAAAUUUAAGAUGGCUUAAGUAGAUUUUGUUUAUUUAUUCUGCACCUCAGCCAUCAGAGACUGCCAGUGCCAGGGUGUGAAUUACGGUAAAAUAAAUAAAUGCACUAAUUGCUGCUGCUUUAUAUUGGAAAUCAUUCUUGCUUAUGAAAACAUCUCAAAAGGUGUAGAAAGGAGACACAUCUGCUCCAGACCAGGCAAAUCAACUGUCUUAAUGAACCAUUAACACAGGCUGUCAAAAAACCCACUCUGAACCCAGGUGAAGUUCCCACAUUGGUCUCUGAGCUUGGGGUGAAGCUCAUGAUGUUCAUCUUAUUGCAAGCACAGGACUGUUGGUGGAACAGUGUGAACAGAAAUAGAGGAAAAGCAAAGCAAGGGAGAGGUAACUCAAGUUUAUGCCGUGAAGGAAUUCACACCCACUGGAGUUGUAUGCAUGGCUGUAACCACGUUCUGCUGCAGCCCCCGAGCCAAAAAAUUGACAAAAAAAAGAAAGGAUGGGAUGUGGGGAGGAGGGGAAAUGUUAAUCACCAUCUUUCCUUUCCUAUAAAUGUGUUAAUGGUUUAGUAAGUGUUUCCAAAAAUGUCUGUGUGGGAUUAAAAUAGAAGCCAUGGCCAAGUUUGAAAUGAGCUCUUGGAUGGGGAGCAGACAGGAGGGUAAAUCCUGGUGAUCCCAUCCAAGGCACAGGGAAAUGUCCAGCACAGGAGGAUGGAGAGGGUGAAGAGUUUGUGCUGGGAACUUUCUGUUGACUCUUUGGGGAGCUUGGUCAUCCCAGCAAGUGGGAGCAGUGCUCCACAUAAUCAAAAAGUACCACCUACCAAAGCAUGUGAGGGUUGCCAUGGAAAUCAGGAGUUGUUACUGAAAAAGCAGAAAAAUCAUGAAUGAUCUGGAAAAGCAUGGAUUUUUGGAGCUUCCUGUCCUCUGCUAUGUAAAACCCCAGCCCAGACUGUUGAAUUCCUUUCUGGGAGGAUUUUGCCCCUGCUGCUGCAGCUGCACAGGACAGCAGGUUGUACAUGCAUUUAUGGGGGCACAUAACCCACGCUUUUCAUUGCAGCUCUGGCCCACUGACUGCUCCAGAGGAUGGGUAGGAACUGAAACCAGGGAUGGAAAUUACCUGGAUGGAAACCUCUGCUGUGGGUCACAGCAGGGUGUGACACGCCCCAGGCAGAAAAGCCCCCAAAUUAUCCAUGAGUAUCUCAUCUGGAAGGCUUGUCCAGACCUGUUCCCAGGGAAGAGAGUGAACCAGGAGAUAGGAUCAGAAAGCUGGGGACAGACUCCAUAACUCACCAGUGGCUGGUGGAGGAUGCCCUCCAUGCAAAGGGUGGGAGGGGGUGUAACUUGCCAGAGGAUCUGGGAAAACACUCUUGUUCCAGUAUCCACAACAUUCAGAAACUGACAGCCCUGGUGAGCAGGAAAGACUCAAGAACUGGCUCCAGGACAGAUCAGAUGGAAGCCAUUCUUAAACGAACGUAAUGAUGUAUGGAAGUAAAACAUUAUUUUGGAACUAAAAGUUUAAAUAUAUAUAACAGUAACGAAGGCAGGAGAUCUGCGUUGGGAAUGCCAGCACACUUGCUGCUUCCAAGGUUUUAUUUUAAAGUCAGGAUACUGGAAAUGCUGUUCAGCAUGUUUCCAAUGAGCUGCUAGGCCCCCUGGAAGUGCUAAGGCCAUGUUUACUGAGAAACUGCAUGGUAGGUCCUGCUGGAGGUUAUUUGGGGGCUACUGACAUCCACAAGGUUUCACUUUGGUGGCUGAACUCUGUGCAAAGCCAUCCAAGGACAGAGCCUGUAGGAUGAAGAGGUUUCUCCUUUCUGGGCAAUAAUGGGAGCAAAAGCCCUGGAAGGACUCACUGCACCUGCAGCUGCCCCGCCUGUGUCAGUGCCCCUGGGACAGCAGUGUCCCCAUUCUGCUCCUUUCCAGGGACUCUCUUGCCUUCCUUGGCACUGCAGGGCAGUGUCCCAGCCCCUCUCAGCCCCUCACUGCUUCUGCUGCAGCAGGUCAGAGGUGUUUCUGGGUACGACACACCUACAGGGAUGGAUCCACUGCUCCCACCAUGCUGCUGGGAUGUUUUUGUUAUUGUUGUGAUUAACUUUCUGCUGUUGACUUCCGCCUGUGGGCUUGUAAACUCAAGCUGUCCAUUUGCUACAGGUCUCAAGGCAUCAUCUUACAAGGAGGGAAAGAAUUUUCAUUUAUAAUCCAUGAGACCUAUUCAGGGAUGGGUUGUCCUCCCCCUCCCUGUGCCAAUAGACCUCUAAGUGAACAAACAAAUGUCUGGAAAUACAGGCAAUUUAGCUCAGAAGAGAUAUCAUCAGUGGGGUUCAGAGGUUAAUGGGCAUGGAGGAUUUAUAACAACCCAGGCCUAUAAAAAAAAAAAGGGGGGGGGGGGAGAAAAAAGGAAGAGGAGAAAAGAAAAAAAGGAGUGGGUAGUAAUCUAGUUGACAUCUAUUGUUCUUUGUGUAACAGCUCAUCUGUAUUCUAUCUGGUCCAGGGUAUUGCAAAGAGAAUUUAAAAACACAUGUGUGCAAACACACACACACACAUCUAUCUCUAUAUAUAUAUAUGUGCACAUAUAAACUGAAAUAUAAUGAGGGAAAAAGCCCCUGUAAGUUUGAACCAACAACAGCAACCCAUAUAUCUUUAUUUGCUGCCAACAUCCAAGUGCUGAACUCUCAAGGAGCCUGGAUCUCUGCCAUCAUCUGUCCGUGUCUGAUCUCUUUGGUAAAUACGACGGCUGCCAAGAAUGAGGCAAACGAAAAGCGCUCGCAGAUUAGGGAGAAACACAUGGCAGCCACUGACCUGCUGAAAUCAUAAAAUACGUCAUGAAGUAAGGAAAGAGGGGAAACAAAUCAUCCUCUUAGGGACUGCCCAUCUGCUCACAUAAAGCCACAAUCAUUAUUGCAAAUAAAUACGUGCAGACCGGAGAAGUCUGGGAAUAAUUUGAGGGAGGUGGGUACCUUUGUGUGGUGUGUGUGUGUGUUUGGAACCCUCUGGAAAUUUUCCUACAUAAACAAGGUGAGAUCAUCAGCCAGAAAUAGAUACCUAUCAAUUAAUUAUGUAGGGAGCAAAUCCUUAUUUUAUGGGCACAAUUAGGGAAAAAAAAUUCCAAGACAGGAUGGGGCCAUAGCGUUAGAAAGGGACCCCUGUGGAAAUUGCAGGUCCA